ACACCGUUGGUGAAGUGGUUAUCAUGCUUGCCUUCCAUCACCUAGUAUUCGGUCUUUAUUUCAGGAGCAAGCGGCUCGGGUUCGAUUCCCGAACGGUGUA